GGUGGCUCAGUGGUAGAGUGCUUGCCCUGCAUGCAUGAGUCCCUGGGUUCGAUUCCUGGGCACCA
rfam:Dipodomys ordii contig_29472, whole genome shotgun sequence.